rnacentral:rRNA from 1 species
UACAGAGGUCUCAAGCGUUGUUCGGAUUCAUUGGGCGUAAAGGGUGCGUAGGUGGCGGGGCAAGUUUGGCGUGAAAUCCCGGGGCUCAACCCUGGAACUGCACUGAAUACUGCUUUGCUAGAGUACUGGAGAGGGAACUGGAAUUUACGGUGUAGCAGUGAAAUGCGUAGAUAUCGUAAGGAAGACCAGUGGCGAAGGCGAGUUCCUGGACAGUUACUGACACUGAGGCACGAAGGCCAGGGGAGCAAACGGG